ANGNAGAACAGNANAUGCNAUNUUCCCCCCCCCNGGUAANAUUGCACAAUGGGCGAAAGCCUGAUGCAGCGACGCCGCGUGCGGGAUGAAGGCCUUCGGGUUGUAAACCGCUUUUGAUUGGGAGCAAGCGAGAGUGAGUGUACCUUUCGAAUAAGCACCGGCUAACUACGUGCCAGCAGCCGCGGUAAUA
rnacentral:rRNA from 1 species